rnacentral:rRNA from 1 species
ACCGUUCGGGCCUCGCGCUAUCAGAUGAGCCUGCGUAGGAUUAGCUUGUUGGUGAGGUAAGGCUCACCAAGGCGACGAUCCUUAGCUGGUCUGAGAGGAUGAUCAGCCACACUGGAACUGAGACACGGUCCAGACUCCUACGGGAGGCAGCAGUGGGGAAUAUUGCGCAAUGGGCGAAAGCCUGACGCAGCCAUGCCGCGUGUGUGAAGAAGGCCCUUGGGUUGUAAAGCACUUUCAAUUGGGAAGAAAGGUUGCGUGUUAAUAGCACGUAGCUGUGACGUUACCUUUAGAAGAAGCACCGGCUAACUCCGUG